UUGUUUCUCGGGUUUACAAAACGUCCAUCAUGUUCCAGGACAAUUUCUGAAGCUGGCCAGCACGAUCCCCGGGGGCAGACCUCCUCUUUCCUGUUCCUGACGUGUCUCCAGCACCCAGGAUGGUGCCCAGCGUGCAGCAGAUGCUUGAAGAGUGUUAAGAGGUGUCUCCGGGCAUGGUGGCACAUGCGUGUGAUCCCAGCACUCGGGAGGCCACAGGGAACAGGGAACUUCCGCAUAACCAAGGGAUGACCUCCCUUUGUUGGUGACUCUCUGCCUAGUUAAGGUCUUUCUGCCCCACCGGUUUCAUGGUCAGAUGUUCCAGUCAGACAGGGGCUUCCCGAAAGCGGUGACUCCAUCCCCCCUGACCGAAACCUGUUGCUACCUACCCCAGCCCCAAUCCCCCACCCCCACCAAUGGACCAGUGCUCUCCCACCUGCAAGAUCCCUAUAUAAGCUUCCGGCUCAGCCCAUGCAGU
rnacentral:lncRNA from 1 species